UGGGGAAUAUUGCACAAUGGGCGCAAGCCUGAUGCAGCAACGCCGCGUGAGGGAUGACGGCCUUCGGGUUGUAAACCUCUUUUAGUAGGGAAGAAGCGAAAGUGACGGUACCUGCAGAAAAAGCACCGGCUAACUACGUGCCAGCAGCCGCGGUAAUACGUAGGGUGCGAGCGUUGUCCGGAAUUAUUGGGCGUAAAGAGCUCGUAGGCGGUCUGUCGCGUCUGCUGUGAAAACCCGAGGCUCAACCUCGGGCCUGCAGUGGGUACGGGCAGACUAGAGUGCGGUAGGGGAGAAUGGAAUUCCUGGUGUAGCGGUGGAAUGCGCAGAUAUCAGGAGGAACACCGAUGGCGAAGGCAGUUCUCUGGGCCGUAACUGACGCUGAGGAGCGAAAGCGUGGGGAGCGAACAGGAUUAGAUACCCUGGUAGUCCACGCCGUAAACGUUGGGCGCUAGAUGUGGGGCACCAUUCCACGGUUUCCGUGUCGCAGCUAACGCAUUAAGCGCCCCGCCUGGGAAGUACGGCCGCAAGGCUAAAA
rnacentral:rRNA from 1 species